UCUUCGGUGAAGCCAUAUUCAGCUCAAUAAGCUCUAUCAGUCCAUCUUCAGUCUCGGUUUCUGAUCAUCACUUUUACUCCGUGACUGUACUGAUCAACUGUGACUCGUGAUGAUAAUUUGGAGCGAAGGAAAAUAUAUAUGCAAGUUGCAGCAACUUGGGAGAAAAGUCCUGUGUGCGAUGAUUGCUGGAGCAAAUGUUUCUUCAUGGUCAGCAGGUGUCCGAAUUCUGAACUUUUCUUUAGGGAUGAAACGAGCUAGUAAUUAGCUACACUGUCCAUGUCACAUCCUUGGGUAUAUUUCAUUGCAUACAUGGGGAGUGAAGGUGGCCAUGGAUUCUCAGCUACGACAGACGCAACGAAAGACCACGGCUUGGCAGCUCCAAUGGUAGGAGUCGGCGGACGCAAGAUAACGUAUGGUGCUGUGCAGCACCAUGAAGCGCUGCGCAGCGAGGGCUCCAAGUUUUCUAGAUGAUGCGCCCGUCGCCGUCCGUCUCGAUUCUCUGCUCCGACGCAAGGCGGUGGCGAACAGGAUGGGAGCGCCCGCCCGAUCCAUGCUUGCGCUGGCGUGUCCGCUUCCGAAGCGGUGAAGAGUUGGAGGAGCUUAGGGUGGUCUCCGUCAGGAGGAAACCCCGCGGCCUCGCCGUCAAAGUCGGCUGUGGAUCGCCGGCGGCGGAGGUGGAGAGGGAGAAAUUUUACAUAUUACCCCUUAUUUGGAUCGUGAUUAAUAAUCGCGAUCCGAAUAUUUACAGUAACUUUCCUGAUUCGGAGCGUGAUUAAUAGUCGCGAUCCAAAUAUUUAACAAUAGUUGCUUUGGCCAAUGGCUUUCGCGUCCGCCGCCGGAUUCUUCGGAGAUGCGCAGCUGCCCCGUCUGGUGCUCCUCCGCAAAAUCCUCUAUGCUCGCCUUCGUCCUCCCUUCUCCGCCCCUGGAUGUCGAGCUGCCCCAAGUUGGAGAGGGCCUGUGACUCACCAGUCACCGCCGCCGUUUGUCCGCCAUGGCAGCUCGGCAGGAAUCUCCAAUCUCGCCGUCGAGCUCUCCUGAUUGAAAUGUUCUUUUCUCUGCUAUAUAGCGUCGUGAGCCGUGUUCACCCGUACAAAUCUAUGCCGUGUCUCUGCUUCCACUCACCUUCGCUGACGCAUUACUUUAUCUGCCUCAAUGGAGCCGUCGUCCCCACCUUCAUCCACCAGAAUGCUGCCGCUACCCUCUACAUCUACAGGUCGGCUUCGAACUCACCAACAGCGAUCACUUCUUCCCCGGCCCCGGCUCCGGCUGGACCUCUCCGCUACAUCCUGUUGUUCAGCUUACCAAUCUUCCUUCGGCUUCUAUGUCUGCUCCAGUUUCCUCGACGAUACACUGCUUCUCUGCUUCAUUCGGCUUGAUCCGUAUCCCUCUUCUCCUUCUUUAUUAUUUCUUUUCUAUUGCUGAAUAUUUAUAUAUAUUUUUUGUUUAAUUUGUGAUUGUGAACCUGUUCUUAUGCUCUUAUACUUGAUAAUUGCAUCCGAUUCGUAAAUGUUCAUGUGUCUGUUGGUGCAUAUGAGUUGGUAACCAAGAAUUAUUGCAACUUCUCCAUGCUACCUGCUGUCAUUUAGAUUCAGUAUCUCUGCUUUUGGCAGAUGUGAGCCAGUGAAAAAUGCAUUAUUCUAUUUGUCAGCUUGUGUAUCUGUGGGUUUAUUUCUUCAUAAAGUAAGUACCUGUUUGCAUUGCACUAAUAUGUUUUCUUUUCUGAAUAUCUAUGCACCUUAAGAAAAUGUGCAAGGAAGGUGCUCUCUGGGGUAACUAAUUGAAGUGGUUUGUAAAAUUUGUUGUUGCAAACUCAAAUAAAUGCAUUGACUUCUUUCCCUUCUUCUUUUACGCUCUGAGUAAUUCAGAUAUUUGUGUGUCUAUUACGCAGGUACUGUUGCUGGAGUUUAAGUAGGCAUGGUGUACGAUAGUUAAAAGGGUCUGUGGUCACAGUGAGUCAGUGACUGGAAGAAUGCAAUGAUCGGAGGGGCCUUAUCUGGUGCCCUGAUCUCUGAGGACGCCAUCACUGCUGGCGCCAUUCAGUUGCAACAGUCAUCGAGUUCUUCAACUAUAGUCAUGUAGCUGCAUUUGGAGUGCCAUUGUCGGACAUAUUAAAAAACAAAGGACUUCUUCGGUGAAGCCAUGUUCAAUUCAAUAAGCUCAAUCUUCAGUCUUAGUUGCUGAUGGACACUUCUGCUCCUGCGUGAAUGUUCUGAUCAACUGUUAUUCUGUGACGAUAUAUUGGAGUGAAGGAAAACAUAUAUGCAGGUUGCAGCAACUGGAGAAAGUCGUGCGAUGAUUGCUGAUGCAAGCGUCUGAACUUUUCUUCAGUGAUGACUUUUCUAGAGAUAAGAUGAUGAAUUACAGAUGCAACGGAAGGCCACGGCUUGGCAGCUCCAGCGACGCAUGGCAGGAGGCGGCGGACGCGGAUAACGUAUGGCGUUGUACAGCACCGUGAAGCAGGGUUCCAAGCUUCUGAAUGAUUACUAUAUAUAAAAAAAAGGCUUCUGAAUGAUGCGCCCGUUCUCUCCGUCGUCGAGGGCGGCGGCGACGAUGUACGAGGUGGCGGUGGAGGAGAUGGCGGGGCCCGAGGAGAUCAAGGCGGCGUACCGGCGCGCCGGGCGGUGGUGGCACCCGGACGCGUACCCAGGCGGCGUCGACCGCUUCAUGGCGGGCGUGAGAGGCCUACGAGGUGCUGCCCGACCCGAAGCGCAGGAGCGGCGCGCGGGGUUCGCUGACUGGGAGGCUCAGCUGGCCGGGCUGCAGUGGCGCGCGGCGGAGAGUGAGAUGUUACCAGGACGCCCGGUAGUCUGAACAACUCUUGUGUGAAUCAUCCUCUGACGAUGUUGGGAACAAUCUCAAUGAACCAGCCUGUUCAUUUUAA